CUCCUGCCCAGGAUAGUUCCAUGUGUUUAGCAGCCGGUCUCCUUUCAUACAAUAAAAAUACCGAACAGUCAUGCUUUUUAAGAUUUGUGCUUUUGUUGAUCAUGUUCUGCUUUGUUCGUGUAAUACUUUUACCGAACGCCGCCUCGUUCAUAUGAAUCUGGGCAAAGCUAAGUGGUCAUGGAAGUCUCAGCGGUGUUCGGGAGUUGAGUGUCCGAAAAUAGUUCCAGACACUCGCCGACCAAACACCACUGGACGUGUUCGACAAAACAAGAUGGCCGCCCCCACGUGUUCGUGCAUACGAAUCGACGGCCACCCAUUGAACCACUUAGAAUGCUUGCGGUUUUGUGGUUUGGCACAGAGUCAAUGGUGUAAUUGGCGGCACACGACUGGGCUGGGUGGUCUCUCGUUCGGAAGUAUUGUUCGUUCAUACGAACGGGGUAGCAAUGUCAUUCGUUUUUCCCAUUCAUAUGUUUUCAAAUAUCAAACUGGCAACGAAUACAAAGUAACAAAUCCAAGGGGUGUACAAUGUUAUAGUCUGUGGUCCAGGCAAUCACAGGGGUUCUGUUACAGUAGAUUGCCAGCUGUUUUAAAACGUCAUCUUCCAUGAUGUUUUGUCAUUCUAAAGGCAUACUAGAGGCAUGCAAAGCAUCAUGGAAGUCGUAGUUCUACAACAUUUGUGGAUCUACCUUUUGGUCAGCCCUUGGUUAAACCUUAAAGGUCAGGAACACUAGUUAUACAAACUUAACCUACAAUUUUCAGUAUAAAGACCCAACCCCUGAUUUCUAUUCCAGUAAUCAAUAUCGAAUCAUUGCUAGAUGUGAAUUAAAAUAUCCAACUUACUGGCUGUUAUUGUACGGACCAGAAAGAAUGAACAGCGCGGUUGGCGGUUACGGCUUUUGCCCAUGAUUCUUAAAUUGGCUCCUUUGAGAUCACUUAAAGUUGUAUUAUUUCAGAAUAUGUCUGUCCUUUUGUCAGGUUGGUCUAACAAGCGAUAAUCCUUUCAACAAUAGAAAUUUGAUGAAGCCUUCAAGAAGUCUCCAAUGUGUACAUAAAAGGUCAGAAGUUGGUGAGAGGCAGACAGUUCACAAGUUGGGGCAAUUAACAUUAUACUUUGCUAUACUUCCAUCUCGCCAGCUUGCUCUGCAGCGAAGAGAUUGUCCUGCCCGCCUUCCAGAGCGCGCACAUUGCAGCUCUAAUUAGUCCCCGUUGUUUUAUCAACUUCUGCAAACUCUGCCAAGUCUACCUGAACAUCCACCUGUGGCCCAUGUAAUAAACAUCACACCCCAUG